CGAUGUUAGGGCAAUCUGGCUGUGACAUCUGUCACCCCAUUGGUUGUGAGGGGUGAUCUGGCUGAUCUGGCAGGCUAGCCAGGUGUCCCCUUCGACCAUCACUGCUUCGUGUGCAGCCCUCCCAAAGAUGCAUGCACGCAUAGUGGAAGGGGAUGGCCACCCCGAUCAAGCAGUACCAUUCUUUGGUUAAGGGUACAGGAGUAGCUGUGCCUUCCUGCCAGAACAUCUAAAUAAGCUCUCUAAUUGUACAAUAGUAACCCCUCUCCUUACCAAUUUGUAAAUGUUUUACAAACAAUUAUU
rnacentral:snRNA from 1 species